UAUCUCUGUAGAGUCUGCAUAUCAAUAAGCGGAGGAAAAGAAACUAACUAGGAUUCCCUCAGUAACGGCGAGUGAAGCGGGAAGAGCUCAAAUUUGAAAUCUUCAAGGUUUUACCUUGACGAAUUGUAGUUUAAAGAAGUGUUUUCUGUUGAGUGUUUCGGUAAAAGUUCUUUGGAAUAGGACAUCAUAGAGGGUGAGAAUCCCGUAUUUGACCAUUAUUUUCAGCUGUGUGAUACACUUUCAAAGAGUCGGAUUGUUUGGGAAUGCAGUCCAAAAUGGGUGGUAAAUUUCAUCUAAAGCUAAAUAUUGGCGAGAGACCGAUAGCGAACAAGUACCGUGAGGGAAAGAUGAAAAGAACUUUGAAAAGAGAGUUAAACAGUACGUGAAAUUGUCAAAAGGGAAGCGUUUGACACCAGUGUUGUUUUCUCGAAAAUCAAUUAAAAAUGGCUUGAUUUUGUGUUGUAUUGACCUUAAAAGCUUUCCUCACUUUUUUCAUGUCUUUUUUAAUGCGCUUUUCGUUUAACAAGUCAACAUCAGUUUCUUUUGUUGUAAAAAGGUCAUUGGAAGGUGGCUUUCUUUUCGGAGAAAGUGUUUAUAGCCUUUGACUUCUGCAAUCGGAGAGACUGAGGUCUGCAGCGUAGAUCCUUCUGGAUUAGAUUCAUUUGUGCUAAGUUACAACCGUUUAUAGACAACUUGUUGACUAUAUUCGAUCCUGUAGCUUACUCGCUUAUGUAAUUUUACCUACGCUUAGGAUGUUGAUCUGUAGUGCGUGCGC
rnacentral:rRNA from 1 species